rnacentral:tRNA from 1 species
GGGGGAGUGUCCCGAGCGGCAAAGGGNNGGGCGGACUGUAAAUCCGCUGGCUUAGCCUUCGUAGGUUCGAGUCCUACCUCCCCCACCA